GUAGGGUGCGAGCGUUGUCCGGAAUUAUUGGGCGUAAAGGAGCUCGUAGGCGGUUUGUUGCGUCGGCUGUGAAAAUCCCGAGGCUCAACCCUCGGGUCUGCAGUCGAAUACGGGCAGACUAGAGGUAUGCAGGGGAGAACGGAAUUCCUGGUGUAGCGGUGAAAUGCGCAGAUAUCAGGAGGAACACCGGUGGCGAAGGCGGUUCUCUGGGCCUUACCUGACGCUGAGGAGCGAAAGCGUGGGGAGCAAACAGG
rnacentral:rRNA from 1 species